rnacentral:rRNA from 1 species
GAUGAACGCUGGCGGCGUGCCUAAUACAUGCAAGUCGAGCGAACGGACGAGAAGCUUGCUUCUCUGAUGUUAGCGGCGGACGGGUGAGUAACACGUGGAUAACCUACCUAUAAGACUGGGAUAACUUCGGGAAACCGGAGCUAAUACCGGAUAAUAUUUUGAACCGCAUGGUUCAAAAGUGAAAGACGGUCUUGUUGUCACUUAUAGAUGGAUCCGCGCUGCAUUAGCUAGUUGGUAAGGUAACGGCUUACCAAGGCAACGAUGCAUAGCCGACCUGAGAGGUUGGUCGGCCACACUGGAACUGAGACACGGUCCAGACUCCUACGGGAGGCAGCAGUAGGGAAUCUUCCGCAAUGGGCGAAAGCCUGACGGAGCAACGCCGCGUGAGUGAUGAAGGUCUUCGGAUCGUAAAACUCUGUUAUUAGGGAAGAACAUAUGUGUAAGUAACUGUGCACAUCUUGACGGUACCUAAUCAGAAAGCCACGGCUAACUACGUG